rnacentral:rRNA from 1 species
UUAAGUUAAUAAGGGCGCACGGUGGAUGCCUUGGCACUAGAAGCCGAUGAAGGACGUGACUAACGACGAAAUGCUUUGGGGAGCUGUAAGUGAGCAAUGAUCCAGAGAUGUCCGAAUGGGGGAACCCGGCAGGUAAUGCCUGUCACUCAUUACUGUUAAGGUAAUGUAGAGGAAGACGCAGUGAACUGAAACAUCUAAGUAGCUGUAGGAAGAGAAAGCAAAAGCGAUUGCCUUAGUAGCGGCGAGCGAAACGGCAAGAGGGCAAACCGAAGAGUUUACUCUUCGGGGUUGUAGGACUGCAACGUGGACUUAAAGAUUAUAGAAGAACUACCUGGGAAGGUAGGCCAAAGAGAGUAAUAGCCUCGUAUUCGAAAUAGUCUUUAUACCUAGCAGUAUCCUGAGUACGGCGAGACACGAGAAAUCUCGUCGGAAUCUGGGAGGACCAUCUCCCAACCCUAAAUACUCUCUAGUGACCGAUAGUGAACCAGUACCGUGAGGGAAAGGUGAAAAGCACCCCGGGAGGGGAGUGAAAUAGAACCUGAAACCGUGUGCCUACAACAAGUUCGAGCCCGUUAAUGGGUGAGAGCGUGCCUUUUGUAGAAUGAACCGGCGAGUUACGAUAUGAUGCGAGGUUAAGUUGAAGAGACGGAGCCGUAGGGAAACCGAGUCUUAAUAGGGCGCAUUAGUAUCAUGUCGUAGACCCGAAACCAUGUGACCUACCCAUGAGCAGGUUGAAGGUGAGGUAAAACUCACUGGAGGACCGAACCAGGGCACGUUGAAAAGUGCUUGGAUGACUUGUGGGUAGAGGAGAAAUUCCAAACGAACUUGGAGAUAGCUGGUUCUCUCCGAAAUAGCUUUAGGGCUAGCGUCGAUGUUAAGUCUCUUGGAGGUAGAGCACUGUUUGGGUGAGGGGUCCAUCCCGGAUUACCAAUCUCAGAUAAACUCCGAAUGCCAAUGAGAUAUAAUCGGCAGUCAGACUGCGAGUGCUAAGAUCCGUAGUCGAAAGGGAAACAGCCCAGACCACCAGCUAAGGUCCCAAAAUAUAUGUUAAGUGGAAAAGGAUGUGGGGUUGCACAGACAACUAGGAUGUUAGCUUAGAAGCAGCUAUUCAUUCAAAGAGUGCGUAAUAGCUCACUAGUCGAGUGACCCUGCGCCGAAAAUGUACCGGGGCUAAAACAUAUUACCGAAGCUGUGGAUACCUUUAUAGGUAUGGUAGGAGAGCGUUCUAUGUGCGAAGAAGGUGUACCGUGAGGAGUGCUGGAGCGCAUAGAAGUGAGAAUGCCGGUAUGAGUAGCGAAAGACAGGUGAGAAUCCUGUCCACCGUAAGACUAAGGUUUCCAGGGGAAGGCUCGUCCGCCCUGGGUUAGUCGGGACCUAAGGAGAGACCGAAAGGUGUAUCCGAUGGACAACAGGUUGAUAUUCCUGUACUAGAGUAUAUAGUGAUGGAGGGACGCAGUAGGCUAACUAAACCAGACGAUUGGAAGUGUCUGGCCAAGCAGUGAGGUGUGAUAUGAGUCAAAUGCUUAUAUCUUUAACAUUGAGCUGUGAUGGGGAGCGAAGUUUAGUAGCGAAGUUAGUGAUGUCACACUGCCGAGAAAAGCUUCUAGCGUUAAUUAUACUCUACCCGUACCGCAAACCGACACAGGUAGUCGAGGCGAGUAGCCUCAGGUGAGCGAGAGAACUCUCGUUAAGGAACUCGGCAAAAUGGCCCCGUAACUUCGGGAGAAGGGGCGCUGACUGAUGGUCAGCCGCAGUGAAUAGGCCCAAGCAACUGUUUAUCAAAAACACAGCUCUCUGCUAAAUCGUAAGAUGAUGUAUAGGGGGUGACGCCUGCCCGGUGCUGGAAGGUUAAGAGGAGUGCUUAGCGUAAGCGAAGGCAUGAAUUGAAGCCCCAGUAAACGGCGGCCGUAACUAUAACGGUCCUAAGGUAGCGAAAUUCCUUGUCGGGUAAGUUCCGACCCGCACGAAAGGCGUAAUGAUUUGGGCACUGUCUCAACGAGAGACUCGGUGAAAUUUUAGUACCUGUGAAGAUGCAGGUUACCCGCGACAGGACGGAAAGACCCCAUGGAGCUUUACUGCAGUUUGAUAUUGAGUAUCUGUACCACAUGUACAGGAUAGGUAGGAGCCUAUGACCUCGGGACGCCAGUUUCGAGUGAGGCGUUGUUGGGAUACUACCCUUGUGUUAUGGCUACUCUAACCCAGAUAGGUUAUCCCUAUCGGAGACAGUGUCUGACGGGCAGUUUGACUGGGGCGGUCGCCUCCUAAAAGGUAACGGAGGCGCCCAAAGGUUCCCUCAGAAUGGUUGGAAAUCAUUCGCAGAGUGUAAAGGUAUAAGGGAGCUUGACUGCGAGAGUUACAACUCGAGCAGGGACGAAAGUCGGGCUUAGUGAUCCGGUGGUUCCGUAUGGAAGGGCCAUCGCUCAACGGAUAAAAGCUACCCUGGGGAUAACAGGCUUAUCUCCCCCAAGAGUUCACAUCGACGGGGAGGUUUGGCACCUCGAUGUCGGCUCGUCGCAUCCUGGGGCUGUAGUCGGUCCCAAGGGUUGGGCUGUUCGCCCAUUAAAGCGGCACGCGAGCUGGGUUCAGAACGUCGUGAGACAGUUCGGUCCCUAUCCGUCGCGGGCGUAGGAAAUUUGAGAGGAUCUGCUCCUAGUACGAGAGGACCAGAGUGGACUUACCGCUGGUGUACCAGUUGUUCUGCCAAGAGCAUCGCUGGGUAGCUAUGUAGGGAAGGGAUAAACGCUGAAAGCAUCUAAGUGUGAAGCCCACCUCAAGAUGAGAUUUCCCAUGAUUUUAUAUCAGUAAGAGCCCUGAGAGAUGAUCAGGUUGAUAGGUUAGAAGUGGAAGUGUGGUGACACAUGUAGCGGACUAAUACUAAUAGCUCGAGGACUUAUCCAA